rnacentral:rRNA from 1 species
GUGAGGAAUAUUGGUCAAUGGACGGAAGUCUGAACCAGCCAUGCCGCGUGAAGGAUGAAGGCGUUCUGCGUUGUAAACUUCUUUUAUCAGAGAAGAAACCACUGAUUUCUAUUAGUGUUGACGGUAUCUGAUGAAUAAGCACCGGCUAACUCCGUGCCAGCAGCCGCGGUAAUACGGAGGGUGCAAGCGUUAUCCGGAUUUACUGGGUUUAAAGGGUGUGUAGGCGGGCUAUUAAGUCAGGGGUGAAAUCCCGGGGCUCAACCUCGGAACUGCCUUUGAUACUAUUAGUCUUGAAUUAUGUUGAGGUUGGCGGAAUAUAACAUGUAGCGGUGAAAUGCAUAGAUAUGUUAUAGAACACCGAUUGCGAAGGCAGCUGGCUAAACAUAUAUUGACGCUGGCACGAAAGCGUGGGUAGCGAACAGGAUUAGAUACCCCGGUAGUCC